CUCAUUCAUUUUUUUUGGCAGCAGCGACAGAAUCACACAAGUCUAGCUUUCUCAAGGUUUCCAUGGUGCUGGUGGAGGUGGUGGAGUAGGGAACAAAGGAGGAACAGCUGAGAAAAUAGUGUUUUUGUCUAUCUUACCGGUGGCUUCUUCUUCACCCGAUAAUGCCACAAGAGCUGCGACUAGACCAGCAUUGCCUGCAAGAGUCGGUUCAGUGUAGUUGUAGUUCAUACGGACAUCACGGUACCCGUCGCGCUUGUCAGGACCAGCAACCAUGGCUCCUUCAAUCGUGUUUGGGUUUGGUUUCUUGCUGUCUCUCCAUUUCCAUCCUCCUUUGCAGUUAUACUUGACUUUGUUCUUGGGUAUCGAAGCUCCUCUGUGAUGCACAUGUCUUGGGUAUUUUGUGCCAAAACCAACGACAUAACUCAUUUUCCGAGGGUUUUUACCCAGUAUAUAAUCAAUCUGCCAAAAUACAGCAAGGCCGAGUUAAAUCCAAUUUAGAUGUCAAAAUAAAAAAUGGAGUUUAAAAAGAUCUUCGUACAAUCUUGGUUAAAAGUGUCAUUUUUGGAUCUUAUCCAUUACUAUAUCUGAGAUUACCAUUUCUGUAAAGAGUAAAGGAAAAGAAGCAAUACCUGGGAUCUAGCAAAGUCACGUAGCACACUUGUCGAAUAGAAAUUAGGUCCACAGUACCAUCCAGGAGUAUCAGCAGCAUCCAGAUAAUCACUGUAUAGAGUCGCUAAGAAAGCUGCAUUUACAGAAUAUUGCAGCGGCUGUGGAGCUCCAUGAUUCAACUCUAUUAAACCUCCUGCACAUACCAAAGAUUUCAUUUUAGAUAUCUGAAACAAGAACAAGCCCCACAGUUGGAGUUUUAUUAGAGGCAGACAUUAAAGCUGGAAGGUAACUAACCAUUGGUUCUGUUAAAUUUGUUGAAAAUAGGCAAGUAUGAGCACAUGACUAUGCUGGUCUGAUUGUGGAAGGUCCUUAGAAUUUCUUCAUAUGGAUAUCCAGGACUCAGAAACAACCUCAACCGGCUCAACAGCAACUAAAAUCGCAAAAGGGAUUCAAAAGAGUCAAGAGUAGUAUGGUUAAGGCAAAUGAUCAAGAAGACAUGAAUAUCUAAGAAACAUAAACACAGCAGGUUGUUAUGUGUGGACUGACCUGAGCACCAGCAAGCUUGUUGUCCCAGCUAAAUACACCAUAGUAAGGGCCACCCCAGAAGGCACCAGCAUGCUUGGCCAUAGUAGGUUGGGUGAUUAGAUUGAGAUACGUUACAUUUCCGGUAGCAUAAUACAUCCAAGCACCACCCCAAAUGAACUCAUCCCAAUACAUACUUGAAUUAUAGAACUUGCUAGAUUCCGCAGUGCCUGCACUAUAUCUCCCUCUCCUCGUCCUUCCAAACUGAUACACCACCUUAGCACCAUGGACAAGCUUUUUAGAAUAUUCCUUGUUAUCCUUGAAUACAAUAGAUGCUGAAGCCAGAGCAGCUGCCAUCUCUGCAGCGAGAUCCGAACAUCCACCAUUACAAGUAGUCACGGGCCUUUUAUAGUCCAUAUCCUCAGGUCGCAUCCAACAGUAAUGGUCAUUAGGAUCUGUAUUUCCAUCAUCAGUAUUCCCUGAUCCAACCUACAUUAAACAUGUAACGAGUGAACAAACAACUCAAUAUGAAAGAUCUCCUACGAAGGUCAUAAACAAGUACCUGUGACACAAGAUCAUCAAUGGAAUCAGCAGUACUAUUGAAAGUCUUGAGAAAGUAAUCAGUUCCCCAUUUGAUAAGCUCCUUAACAUGAGUGAGCUCACCAGCAGCUUCGUAUUUAGCACUAUAUUCAAUAACACUCCAGCUCAACAUAGUCAUAGCAUAAGCCAUGGGGAAAUUGAACUUGAUAGCAUCACCAGCAUCAUAAUAACCUCCCACCAAAUCUUUAUAGAAGCUUCCUGUUUCACCUUUCCCAUCUUGAAGCCCAGAAUUACCUCUCCAUGACACGUUAUUAUGCUUUGGCAAUUUCCCAGCUACAACAAUCAAAAUCAGACUUAGAUCUAAAACUCUAUAUCUAAAUUUUAUCAGAUCUAAGUAGAUUCUACACUUACAUUUCUGAGCAUUGAAGAACUUAAGAGCUUUGUGUAGAGCUAUAGUAUAAUUAUCCGGCGGCGGAGUCUUAGGAUGAUGACGCGGCACAGUUUUAACGAUCAAGGUAAUGAAUCCGGCGAGUAACGCGGCGGCAACAAGAGUACCAACAGUCCAGACGAAGAUCUUGCGGCUAACGAUAAUACAACCGAGAUCGACGUACUUCUUCUUCUUCUGCUCCGUUGGACCAAGUAACCAACUCUGCUGCGUCUCAUCUAGUGGACGUGAAAGAGCCGCACGAUCCAAAUCGUUUAAAUUCCGACUACGAUCAUCGUCGGUGGCGGAAUCUGCAGUGUUUAUCUCCAAUGGACCUCCCCAUGGAUCUCUUCCGUACAUGAUGAUGCUCUCUGAUAAAGCAGCAGAGAACAACAACAAUGAAUCAAAGGUUUGGGAUCAGAUCUGGAGAAGAGAAGAGAAGAGAGAAAGAAGUAAAAGUGUGUGGAAGUGAAGAAAUGUGAAGCUAAAAAGCUCUCUCUAGUCAAUAAUGUACAAAGACUCUUUGAGAGAUCUGGUUUUGGUUUUUUACUCUUUUUUUUUUUUCCUUUUUAAAACUCACUUCAAUUAUUUUGUUAUUAUAUGUUUUGUUUGGUUUAUUUGUACAUGUUACGUUACAGCUAACUCUAAUUUUGGAAUAGUAUAUUUUUGGCCAACUAUGAUUGAGCGUUUUGGCCAACUUGUAAUCUUGUGUAUUUAUUUUUCAUACAAUUAAAAUUUGUCGGAGACAUUAAAAUAUUAUUUUUUAUGCACCGUUUUUUCUAACAAAAAAUUGCAUAUACUUUGUUUACUAGUAAAGCAAUGGGCUAAUGUCGGGUGGAUGGAAAAAGACAUCUCCGCUAAUAAACUGUCGGUGGGAUGAUAAUUUUAUUUUAUCCUUUAUGAUUAUGGUGUUUUACACGUCAUCAUUUCUGGUGGGCUCUAAGUAAUGACAUAAUUUUUAAAAAAAAAUUAUAACAAGGAAGGUUACUUAAAUUCUACUUCUACUUGAAAAUGAUAGUCUACCACAAAAUUUCACUUACAUUUGUUAAAAUUUAAAACUUAUAAGAUAAGUGUGUCCGACAAAUUGAUGGUAGAUCAAUGACCUAAAAAAAAAUUACAUCUUGUGGUCAUUUUUACGACUCUAAUCCCUCACAGAGUAAGUAAGGAGAAUUAUGAGAAUCUAACUUUUAAUUUGAAAUUAAAUACAUUCGUAAUUAUAGAAUCUAAUCCCUCAUAUAUAUAUGAAUAUAUCUCUACUUUAAAAAAUUCCGAAAAUAUAUGGGCAGCUAUGUAAUUAUAGGACUUAUCAGCUUGCAUUUAAUUAAUAUUAAAUGUCCAAUGUAGAAACACCAACAAGUGUAGAACUAGAAACCAUAGAUGCUCAUACAUUUGAUUUCUACUUUAUACAUCGAAAACUGAAAGAUAAACAUACACAUAUCAACCAUAGCUGUUUCCAUAGUACAUACUGACAGAGAUUACCUAAAAUAUAUGCAUCAAUUUGUCUUCGAAUUUCCUUCCAUAAUGUUCUUUGGCCUUGAAAGCAUCGUUAGAGAUCGAAACUGUGGCUGUUGAAGUGGAAAAGAGGAUGAUUCGCCGAUCGCCAGAUGCUAUGUGACCGUAUUUCUUUGGCUACGGUCGUCUGAAGAGUCGCUGGACCGCAUACUAUCACUCCAACAUCCACACUCCCCCAUUUCCCAUUCAAUGACUCAAAUAUCUCUGCAAUUACAAAAUAAAAAUAUUACAUGAACCAAUCAAAGAUUUAACUUAACCGAAUCGAGCCAAAUAUCUACACCAAAAGUCGGAUUCAAGAACCGAACGAAACCGUGUCAAACCGUUCCGAAUGAUUUCAGUUUCUAUAAUUUUAUAAAUAAAAAAACGAGAUAACUGGACUUGACACCGCUAAUUUUGUAGUGUAUACCUCUAAAGGCCGGUCUGGUGCCAUAACGAAUAGUGGUGUAAUUCUGGACAUCUUCUUCUAUUGCCAAGCCCUUAAGCUCUGCUGCAGAUGGAUUAUGGGUUUCUUCUCCAUUCAAAUCUACCUUGUCGUUGCCAUUUGCUUCCACUUCACCGGUUUUGUGUUCCCAGCGAUGCCAGAAAACAACCACAAGACCUCCAAAAAUCAAGACACUUGCAACCAUACAACCAACAAAUAGAAGUCCCUUGUACCACCACGUUGUUAUGUUGUAUCUUUUUAUGUAAAAGAUGUCCAACAAUGUGAUCAUUGAAAUAAAUCCAAUGGUGGAUAUAAUUAGAUAGAGUCCAGACCAUAUGUUAUCCCCUGUACCAACUAGUACCGACAUAGAACAUCCGUUGGUCCGUGGUAGCUUGACAGAAGGAUGCACCACCUUGUGAACCAUCCCAUCUUCCUGUAUAACCAUGAAACAUUAAAGAGUUCAACAAGCUUAGUAAGGCCUAUUGCAGCUCCCAAAAGACUUAUUUAAGACGUACCAAGCGAGGCUCGGAUUGUCGAGUGAUAUAUAUGUGAAUCUCAAGGUUUAGUUUCUUAGAGAAGAAAGGGCAAAUGGAAGGUAUGUCAAUUGCUGAGAGCAGAGAGAGCUCGUCUGAGUUUUUAAUGGCCCAUACAACUAAAACCUUACUAGGUAAACAAGCUUUCCCAUCUCUUUUACGGUGUAGGAUAUCGCUUAAGAUGGCGAAAAAAGGCGUAAUCCCGAUUCCUCCUGCUACUAAGACCAGGUUCUCAUACCUGCACCCGCAAUAAAUCUUUCUUGAGUUAAGCUAAAGCUUAUGGCAUUGAAAAAAUUUCAAGUAGACGAAAUGCAUUACGCUAAAUGGUAUGGAGAUUCAUGGCCAUAAGGUCCCUCCACACAAGUUGUGAUUUUAGGAUAUGACUGAGGAGAAAUGAGCUGAUCUUGGUUCUCUGCCUCGUAUAGAUUUGACAACUGGUCUCUAAGCUUUGCAGUCCAUCCACCAAGAACCUUUAUGAGAACCGCAACAUGAUGGUUCCCAUCUAGAGGGCUUGAAGAAACACUAAAUGGAUGCCAUUGUAGCCAAGAUAGUUCCCUCACUUGAAGAAAGAUAAAGCUAAGCGCAUUGUAUCGCAUAUCUGAUUUUUGCGGUAUUGAAGAAGAAAAAAGUCAGUAAAUGUUUUAGAUUAGAGGUAGAAAACAGAGAAUAAACAGAGUUGUUACUUGGUGGUUUUGAAAGGACUAGUUCAAGAGUUCCACAAGGUAAACUCUUUGCAGAGAUUACAUCAACAGUCCUUCUUGAUUGGCAGAACCUCAAGAAGCGGUCUAGAAUGAAAAGAAAUAUUCCUCCAGCAACUAUACUAAACAUGUAAUCACCAACAUGAAGUGCCAAGAACACAAUAAAGACGAUGUAUAGUUGAUGUGUGUAGAAGAAGAGCUCAAAGUAAUUCUUUCUCACGGUGUGAAGCGAUGUGACCCACAUCAGUAAACCCGCCACUAGACUGAUAACUCCGGGUAAGAUAGCAAUUCCGAUAGCAUUCCAUGAAAAUAUCUGAGAGGAGUAAGUAGUUGAUGAUGAUGAAACUUUACAAUAGAAAAUAAGAAGAUAAAAUUGUGACUUAUAGAGUAUAGACCUAUCUUGAACCGAUGAUCGACACUAUACUAUAGUAGAUAAACUAGGCUAUACUAUUAUGUCAAGAUUCAAUGAUGUUGUAGGAUCUUACAAGCUCUAAAAGUUGACCUUGAAUGAUCCAUCCAACAACAUAACAGAGGCCAUGUAAGGAGAAGAAAGCCAUGGUGAUAUGACCAAGCCAAACAUGAUAUCUUGUAGCAUGUUCAAAAGGGAUAUCGAUAAGACGGAGAAGAAUGGAACCUCUCGAGAUUGGAAGAAACAAAAAAACCAUACACAACAAUCCAAUCAUUCCUAAACGCAGACCCGUUACCUCCAACAGAAGAAUACUGAAAAUACACACACACAAAACUAAUGAUUGGAAUGAGAAGGAAAAAGACAAAGAUGGGAAAAAAAAAGGAAGAGUUUUAAGAACCUUCGAUUCUUGGGAAGGACGUGGAAGCGUUCAAGAAGGUCAAGAUUCCUCAAGGUAUAAGCAUAGAUAGACCAAAGGAAAAAAACAGAGAAGACCAUAAUUCCAAGAAACUCAGCUGCAGAAACAACUCCAAAUGGUCCAUCCACAAGAACAGGGAAUGUCCAUAGCCUAAACCUCGGGAAUUUCGAUAUCUUCUUCCUUCACAAUCAUCAUGACACACACAUUUAUGCAAGAACAAAAAUUGAUACAACCAAAAGAAUGCAAUUGGGGAUAUUAUUACACGUACUUAGUGAAGACCUUGUCUUCCCCGGAGAUAAUGAGAUAGAGAGAAGCUAAGACAGAGAUGACAAGAAUCGGACAACUGAAAAUCAAGAACAUGGUUCCUGCAAAUUUAGACAAUUAAAGGAUGAAAUUAGUUACACUUUUUGGACAUGUUUCCGUAGAAAGCAAAGCAUCUGCUCGUUAAUGUAACCUGUGGUGCCUAGGAAAGUCUUGGAGGAGACAAAUGUGAGGAAAUCAUCACCGAGUUGUUCAGGGUACAUCAUCAUAAGAAAAACAACCCAAGUCACAAAAAUCAUAGACAUUACAACUUUCAAUAUCCAUUUCAAAGAUGAAGUAAUCACAGAUGAUGAUGAUGAUGAGUCCUUGGACAAAAGAGGGGUUUCAUAAUCAUCCAUCUUUAUUUGAAUUUCCACUUCUCAGUGUUGUGAUGAGAAGUUGGCUCAGAAGCAGCAUCGGCUUUUAAGGUGGCGUUACUAGAGAUAAACUAAUAAGAUAUUCUUAGAAGAGUCAAGUAAAAUUUUCUGGACCAUUGAGGUUUCUAUCAUUCUCAUUUAUGAAAGAUUCCUUCGGACAACAAUCCUAGUACACAAUAAAAAAAACUAUAAAAAAAAAUGAGAGUGUCAUUAACACGUGAGAGUAACGUACUUGGGAGAGAGUGUCACGUUAGGUUGAUUUCAACCACAAUUAAGGGUAAGGUGAGAGACUGAGAGUACUUACUACUUUAGUAUAGAUAAGAUGGUUAUUAUGACGACUAUGAUGGUUAUUGGAUAAGCUUACAUUACCUGAAUCUGAACAUAUAGAAUUUCAACAUCAUUCGGAUUAGCUCGAAAGAAACAUUAUUCGGUUUCCGCGUUCAAGAUCCAGCAGAGAGAUAAAUUUGCAAAGUUUCACUGUUAGAUUGUUUCUGGUAAAUGACACUAUCUAACAAUGUGUUACGUUAAACAAGAAUAAUCGACUAUCAUGAAGUUGUAUCAAUCUCGAACACACAAGUUAUAAUCAGUCCAAGGAAAAACUUAGAUGUAUAUAGUCAAAAAAAUUCUUCAUUACACUUUUAAGUAACCGAAACAAAAUCCAAUAACAAAUAAAAGUACCACUUAGACUUAGCUACGAUUUACAUGUCAACAAAAGAACACUAAGAAAUUAUAAUUAAGUCUCAUGAAGUUGUAUGUGUAGACAAAAAAGAAUUAUAAUCAGGCCUAGAGAGAGUAAAGUUUGAUUUCAACCACACUUUAGGGAAGGUGAGAGUAUUGACUAUUGAGUAUGGAUAAGAUGAUUAUAAUGACGAUUGUAAUGGUUGUUGUACCAUUAUAUUUAUAUAUUAAGUUAUUAACUCAAAAGAACUAAGAAAUUGCUAUCAUGAAGUAGCAUCAAUCUCAAAAAUUAGUUAAAGUUGUUUCCAUAAUACAUACAGACUGUGAUUAUAUAAAUUAUAUGCAUCGAUAAUAUAUCUUCGAAUUUCCAUAAUGUUCUUUGGCCUUGAGAGCAUCGUUAGAGAUCGAAACUGUGGCUGUUGAAGUGGAAAAGAGGAUGAUUCGCCGAUCGCCAGAUGCUAUGUGACCGUAUUUCUUUGGCUACGGUCGUCUGAAGAGUCGCUGGACCGCAUACUAUCACUCCAACAUCCACACUCCCCCAUUUCCCAUUCAAUGACUCAAAUAUCUCUGCAAUUACAAAAUAAAAAUAUUACAUGAACCAAUCAAAGAUUUAACUUAACCGAAUCGAGCCAAAUAUCUACACCAAAAGUCGGAUUCAAGAACCGAACGAAACCGUGUCAAACCGUUCCGAAUGAUUUCAGUUUCUAUAAUUUUAUAAAUAAAAAAACGAGAUAACUGGACUUGACACCGCUAAUUUUGUAGUGUAUACCUCUAAAGGCCGGUCUGGUGCCAUAACGAAUAGUGGUGUAAUUCUGGACAUCUUCUUCUAUUGCCAAGCCCUUAAGCUCUGCUGCAGAUGGAUUAUGGGUUUCUUCUCCAUUCAAAUCUACCUUGUCGUUGCCAUUUGCUUCCACUUCACCGGUUUUGUGUUCCCAGCGAUGCCAGAAAACAACCACAAGACCUCCAAAAAUCAACACACUUGCAACCAUACAAACAACAAACAGAAGUCCCUUGUACCACCAUGUUGUUAUGUUGUACUUGUUUAUGUAAAAGAUGUCCACCAAUGUGAUCAUUGCAAUAAACCCAAUGGUGGAGAUAAUUAGAUAGAGUCCAGACCAUAUGUUAUCCCCUGUACCAACUAAAACCGACAUGGAACAUCCGUUGGUCCAUGGUGUUUUGACAGAAGGAUGCACCACCUUGUGAACCAUCCCAUCUUCCUGUAUAACCAUGGAACAUUGAAGAGUUCAAAAACUAAGUAAGGCCUAUUGCAGCUCCCAAAAGAGUUAUGUAAGACUUACCAAGCAAGGCUCGGAUUGUCGAGUGACAUAUAUGUGAAUCUCAAGGUUUAGUUUCUUAGAGAAGAAAUGGCAAAUGGAAGGUAUGUCAAUUGCUGAGAGCAGAGAGAGCUCGUCUGAGUUUUUAAUGGCCCAUACAACUAAAACCUUACCAGGUAAACAAUCUUUCCCAUCUCUUUUACGGUGUAGGAUAUCGCUUAAGAUGGCAAAAAAAGGCGUAAUCCCGAUUCCUCCUGCUACUAAUACCAGGUUCUC
rnacentral:lncRNA from 1 species